rnacentral:rRNA from 1 species
UACGAGGGGGGCAAAUGUUGUUCGGAAUCACUGGGCGUAAAGGGAGCGUAGGCGGGUUUUUAAGUCAGGUGUUUAAUCCCGGGGCCCAACCCCGGACAGGCACUUGAAACUGGGAAUCUUGAAUAGUGGAGAGGUCGGUGGAAUUGGGGGUGUAGCGGUGAAAUGCGCAGAUAUCAGGAGGAACACCGGUGGCGAAGGCGGCAUCCUGGACCAACACUGACGCUGAGUGAGCGAAAGCCAGGGGAGCAAACGGG